rnacentral:piRNA from 1 species
UCUCAUGUAGAAGAUGGACUCUGAAA